GCAGCAGGCACGCAAAUUACCCACUCCCGGCACGGGGAGGUAGUGACAAAAAAUAACGAUACGGGACUCUAUUGAGGCCCCGUAAUCGGAAUGAGUACACUUUAAAUCCUUUAACAAGGAUCCAUUGGAGGGCAAGUCUGGUGCCAGCAGCCGCGGUAAUUCCAGCUCCAAUAGCGUAUAUUAAAGUUGUUGCGGUUAAAAAGCUCGUAGUUGGUUCUGCGUGCCGCGCUGUCGGUUCGCCGCCUGUCGGUGUAACUGGCAUGUCGCGGCAUGUCCUGUCGGUGGUGAACGCAAUGCACCGGUACUUGCUAAGGCAAUAGCCGAAGUAUUGUGUCGUGUGCGAUUACGUUUGCCGAUCUCUCCUACUCCGGUGCUCUUAAACGAGUGUCGAGGUAGGCCGACACGUUCACUUUGAACAAAUUAGAGUGCUUAAAGCAGGCUGAAAUAUCUGCCUGAAUAGUGGUGCAUGGAAUGAUAAAAUAGGACCUCGGUUCUAUUUUGUUGGUUUUAGGAAUAUGAGGUAAUGAUCAAUGUGGACUGGCGGGGGCAUUCGUAUUGCGACGUAAGAGGUGAAAUUCUUGGAUCGUCGCAGAACG
rnacentral:rRNA from 1 species